rnacentral:rRNA from 1 species
UGGGGAAUUUUGGACAAUGGGCGAAAGCCUGAUCCAGCAAUGCCGCGUGUGUGAAGAAGGCCUUCGGGUUGUAAAGCACUUUUGUCCGGAAAGAAAUCCUCUGGGUUAAUACUCGGGGGGAUGACGGUACCGGAAGAAUAAGCACCGGCUAACUACGUGCCAGCAGCCGCGGUAAUACGUAGGGUGCAAGCGUUAAUCGGAAUUACUGGGCGUAAAGCGUGCGCAGGCGGUUUUGUAAGACGGAUGUGAAAUCCCCGGGCUUAACCUGGGAACUGCAUUCGUGACUGGCAAGGCUAGAGUAUGGCAGAGGGGGGUAGAAUUCCACGUGUAGCAGUGAAAUGCGUAGAGAUGUGAGGAAUACCGAUGGCGAAGGCAGCCCCCUGGGCCAAUACUGACGCUCAUGCACGAAAGCGUGGGGAGCAAACAGGAUUAGAUACCCUGGUAGUCCACGCCCUAAACGAUGUCAACUAGUUGUUGGGGAUUCAUUUCCUUAGUAACGUAGCUAACGCGUG